UUGAUUUCUGGUCCAGAAAAUAUUUUUGAAUCAUCAGAAAUAAUCAAGGAAAUACACCCAUUACACAGGGAGAGGAAUAGUUCAAAGACUGUUGCAGACUGCACAGCAAGCAAAGGAACAGAUUGUUCCUGCACCCAGGACUACCACACGGAAGCAGUGGAGGGAGAAGCAGCAGGUGAUGGAGAAGUACUUCACUCCUGUGCAGCUUAAACAGGGGACCAGGGGCCACAGGCACGGCAAGCCCCACCUCCAUGAGCAUCAGGAGAGGGAGCCCAAGCAUGGCAAGAUGGCUGACCAAAAAACGUAUCACCACAAACACCAUCCCCGCCACCACCACAACCAUGAUCAGCAUCACCAUCCUCAUCAUCACCAGCGAAAGACAGAUUGGUCAGAAGAUCAGAAUGAUCAAGGCAACCAUUCAACAUCAGAGGGCAGUAUUGUCCACCACCAUCGCCAUGGCCACAACAAUCACCCUCACCACCACAAUGAGAAAUCUCAUCCCUCUUCCCCUGACCAUCAUCACCAUCUGCAUCACCAUGCUACAGAUGUGACCUCCCACCCUCAGGUUGCAGCCACCUCAUCCAGCUCCUCUGGUUCCUCAUCAUCAUCUUCAUCCUCUUCCUCCUCUUCCUCAACAUCAUCCUCUUCUUCCUCCUCAUCAUCCUCUGGCUCUUCCUCCACCUGGUCCUCUCAGACUAGUAUUAAUGAGUCCGUGAAGGAUAACAAACAUCCACUGCAGAAGCCCAAGUACUCACAGUCCUGCACUGACAUCUACAGGGGGCGGAAGGCCUAUGACGAGGAGGAAGAUGAGGAAGAUGACACAUCUCCUUUGAUUGAUGAUGAAGGCCACCUCCCAAGACAGGAAAAGAGCUUGAAAGAAAAAAAGAAAAAGAAAGCAAUGUCCUCUCAUCAGACCCCAGCCAAUGUCAUCCUGAAGAAGCAGGAGAGUUCUGAAGGGGCAAGAAUGGCUGGCAAAUUUCGCAAGGCAAAGUCAAUGGAGGCACUGUCCCAUUGCAAGGACAGGGAUGGAGAUGCAGAUACCAUUGUAGACAAGGAGUUGGAGAAAAGAGAGCAGGUAGCCAAGAAGAACUUAGUGCAGGAAAAAUUGAAGUUCUCUGCCUUUUUGAACGAGAUCACCAGGCAGGUGUUCAGCCCAUACAGACUCACCUCUCUUGGGGUCACAGCUGCUCACAGGCCCAGCAGCCCCGGACAAGCCUCCCUGAGGUCCCCCAAGGUGGAACACAGAGGGGAGGAGAGGCAAAGACAAAAGAGUAGUCGGCCUGGCAGUGCAAGCUCUACGACCUUCAGUGUUCACUCCCAUAUCCACAGGCAGUUCCGCUCCAGCAAGCACUCUCAUUCCAGCAAGCACUCUCGCUCCCAUCUUGGCAAACACCAGGACCACCAACACCAUCAGCCUGCAAGAGACAUACACCACAGUCCCAGCAGCCACACCGAUGACAGCACUAGCCCAGAUAAUAGCCCCUCCUCAUCAAGACAUCCCUCCUGUCAUUCAACACCACACCACCAUCAUCACCAGCAUCGCUCCCAUUCUCCAUUUCACCAUCACGGUCUUCACAGUCCAUCUCAUCACCAUGGAGACCACCACAGCCCAAGCCAUCCCCAUCAUCAUGGAGAACAUCACAGCCCAACCAAUCACCAUGGAGACCACCAGAGCCCAACGCAUCCCCAUCCCCAUGAAGACCACCACAGCCAAACUCAUCCUCAUGGAGAACACCACAGCCCAAGAAACCCCCAUCAACAUGGAGACCUCCACAGCCCAAGCCAUCCCCAUCGUCAUGGAGACCACCACAGCCCAAGCCAUCCCCAUUGUCAUGGAGAACAUCACAGCCCAACCCAUCACCAUGGAGACCACCACAGCCCAACUCAUCCCCAUCCCCAUGAAGACAACCACAGCCAAACUCAUCCUCAUGGAGAACACCACAGCCCAAGAAACCCCCAUCACCAUGGAGACCACCACAGCCCAACUCAUCCCCACCCCCAUGAAGACCACCACAGCCAAACUCAUCCUCAUAGAGAACACCACAGCCCAUGCCAUUCCCAUCACCAUGGAGACCACCACAGCCCAACUCAUCCCCACCACCAUGGAGACCACCACAGCCCAACCCAUCACCAUGGAAAUCCACCACAGUCAAACUCAUCCCCAUGAGACCACCACAGCCCAAACUCAUCCCCAUGGAGAGAACCAAGCCAAAUAUCCCCAUGGAGACAAACACAGCCAAGCCACCUCCAUCACCAUGGAGCCUCACACUCCCAGUCAUCCCCAUCACCAUGGACACCACCACAGCCCAACUCCUCCCCAUUACCAUGGAGACAACACAGCCCAGCCCAUCACCAUCCCCAUGGAGACAGCCACACCCAAACUCAUACUGAGGAGACCACCACAG
rnacentral:lncRNA from 1 species